AUGCAAAUAGACUGAAAGGCAGAACAACCAGAACAACCCAACAACUGGUCGUUAUGACGUGCGCUGACCACCAGGGGGCGUCAUGGAAUAUGGCGGGCGUCGGCUACAAUGGGAUGGUGAAGCAGAUAGUCCUUCCUGGAUUAUCCUCAUGUACGUGUACUUCUGUUUCCUGCCGGGCUUCUGAGUGAUGCUGACUCAUUAGCGUACGUUGAGUAUCACAUUCCAAGAAUUAAAUCAAAUGACGAGCUAAGGCUUUAUUCCAACAUUAUGAAGAGGCCAGGAGAAAAAUGGGACCUGACAGGCCAUCUGCACUACAGGCUCCCAACAACUCUGCAUGAGUUGCCUGCAAAACCACGGUGUAGAGAACGAUUGGGCAGCUGAGUCUUAGCACUGAGAGAGUGGCACUCAGGGCUGGUUCAAGUUAAAGAGUGCUGUUGUAAGGAAGAGUGGACAUACGUGGACAAUUCAAGGACAGGAAACAAGUUACCUGUCAGAGGCCUAAUGGGAGUCAGAAUUGGGAACAGGUCCAUUCCUCAAUCAAAUAUCAAGGCUACCCUUCCUGUCUCUCAGGAGUUCACAGUUUCUCUUUGUUCCCCUCCUCACCCUACCCCCACAUCUGCUCUCUUCUCCUCUGCCCUCCUCUGCUUGCUCAUAUUGCACAUGGCCUUCAAGUGGCUGACUUAUGAUCAUCAAGUUGGGCCAGAUCAUUUAUGCCCCAAGUCACCAGUCAUUCAGCAGUGCUAAGUAAAUGCCUAUAUGUGACAGGCCCUGUGGAUAAAGCCAUGAAGAAACCCAACAAAGAUGUUUUUCUAGAGCUUAGGUUAGAGCAGUGUCGGUAAACUCAUUAGUCAACAGAGCCAAAUAUCAACAAUACAACUAUUGAAAUUUCUUUUGAGAGCCAAAUUUUUUAAACUUAAACUAUAUAGGUAGGUACAUUGUUAUUAACUUAAUUAGGGUACUCCUAAGCUGGCCUUUGCUAAAAACGUCCUCAAUCUGAUUGAGGUACGUUUGCUGAGGUCACCCCCUUCCAACUUUCCCAUCCACACUCGUCUUGUAUGCUUGU